GCUCUUAAAGCCCCGAUCAUCGUAUGCAUUGGUUUAAACAGAGAAAAAUGUUAAAGCUUAAGUAAUCUUGUUUAACUAUUUUCUUUAUUGACACCGAAACCUAGUGGUAACGGCCUUACUAGUAAUUAGCUACCGUUUAGGAUGGGCCUAUUAAGAAAGUAAUGAUCUUAAGUGGAAAUAUGAAGAAUAAAUAGUCUCGUCA
rnacentral:lncRNA from 1 species